rnacentral:rRNA from 1 species
CACGUAGGGUGCGAGCGUUGUCCGGAAUUAUUGGGCGUAAAGAGCUCGUAGGCGGUGUGUCGCGUCGGCCGUGAAAACUUGGGGCUUAACUCUGAGCGUGCGGUCGAUACGGGCAUCACUUGAGUUCGGCAGGGGAGACUGGAAUUCCUGGUGUAGCGGUGAAAUGCGCAGAUAUCAGGAGGAACACCGGUGGCGAAGGCGGGUCUCUGGGCCGAUACUGACGCUGAUGCGCGAAAGCCAGGGGAGCGAACGGG